AUUGAACGCUGGCGGCGGGCCUAACACAUGCAAGUCGAGCGGAUGAAGGGAGCUUGCUCCUGGAUUCAGCGGCGGACGGGUGAGUAAUGCCUAGGAAUCUGCCUGGUAGUGGGGGAUAACGUCCGGAAACGGGCGCUAAUACCGCAUACGUCCUGAGGGAGAAAGUGGGGGAUCUUCGGACCUCACGCUAUCAGAUGAGCCUAGGUCGGAUUAGCUAGUUGGUGGGGUAAAGGCCUACCAAGGCGACGAUCCGUAACUGGUCUGAGAGGAUGAUCAGUCACACUGGAACUGAGACACGGUCCAGACUCCUACGGGAGGCAGCAGUGGGGAAUAUUGGACAAUGGGCGAAAGCCUGAUCCAGCCAUGCCGCGUGUGUGAAGAAGGUCCUCGGAUUGUAAAGCACUUUAAGUUGGGAGGAAGGGCAGUAAGUUAAUACCUUGCUGUUUUGACGUUACCAACAGAAUAAGCACCGGCUAACUUCGUG
rnacentral:rRNA from 1 species